AACUUGGAAGCCCGCGCAAGCAGCUGGAAGGGGUGCUGUGAUUACAGCCGCGUGAAGGCAUGCGCGCUGGGGCCUGGCCAGCGGGGUGCCUGGAGAGGUACCUGGUCCAUCCCUCCAGGCCCCUUAGAGAGAGGACUCAGAGAAGAGACUGAGGGAGAUGGGAUGUGCCAGGGUUUCCUGCUAGGAGCCUCAUCUUUCUACCCCUUCUCUGUUCCCGAGAACACAGUGGUCAUCCCCUCUGGAAGAUGAAGUAACAGGGCACCAUCUUGGAAGCAAAGAGAGCAGCCCUCGCCAGACUCCAAGUCUGCUGGAGCCUUAAUCUUGGACUUCCCAACCUCUAGAGUUGUGAGAAAAUAAAUUUCUAUUUAUAAUUUACCCAGUCCAUGGAGUUGUGUUACAGCAGCACAAGUGGACUAAGACGCUGUCAACACUUGUUAAUUUCUGUUGUUAUGCCAUCGUAGUGGUUGUAAACUGAUAUCAUGUUGUGAUUUUGAUUUGCAUUUCCCUGAUGAUUAGUGAUGUUGAGCAUCUAUCUGUUCAUGUGCUUGUUGGCCCUUUGUGUAUCUUCUUUGAAUAAAUGUCUAUUCAAGUUCUUUGUCCAUUUUUAA